rnacentral:rRNA from 1 species
UACAGAGGUCUCAAGCGUUGUUCGGAUUCAUUGGGCGUAAAGGGUGCGUAGGCGGCGCGGUAAGUCGGGUGUGAAAUCUUGGAGCUUAACUCCGAAACUGCAUUCGAUACUGCCGUGCUUGAGGACUGGAGAGGAGACUGGAAUUUACGGUGUAGCGGUGAAAUGCGCAGAUAUCAGGAGGAACACCAAUGGCGAAGGCAGCACUCUGGGACGUGACUGACGCUGAGACGCGAAAGCGUGGGGAGCAAACAGG